AAGGAUUUAAGUUAACCCAAACUAGCAGUCUUCAAAACCGCAAACAAAGAAGCUUCUUUAAGCCUUA
rnacentral:tRNA from 1 species